UUGAACUUGCUUUGGUGUAAGAGGUACCAAGGUAACAUUACUUCCUUGGUGCUUAAAUGAGUACUGAUUGUUAUAUCCGUCAUGGAUAACUUUUCGAUCAAAUUGCCAGGGCCACCCAAGUAGCAAAUGCCCGGCGUGCAUAGGUACCACGUCACAAACUACUUGGUCUUGGUACUUUCCAAUUGAAAAGAAAACAAUGAACUGUUUGCUCACCUUAAGUUCAC
rnacentral:lncRNA from 1 species